UUCAGAGCAAGCCCAUAACCUGUGGACAAACCUUAUUUCCUCUGACUGGCUACUGGUUGCUACUUCAGGCACAUUUGUUCCUGAUUCAUCUCAACCAUGCUUUUCAUAGAGGCAUUUGUGAUGGUAACAAUGCUGUUUGGCCUCAUAUCGCAGCAUCUCCAGGGAUUGCUACAGCAUUAGGUAGUUUUUAAUUUUGGGGGUGGUUUAUCAACAGGGCGGGAGCCUGGGGGACGCCAUUAAAAAUGCAGACUUACAUAACAAGACCAAUAACAUUUCAACCGGACAUCAACUGAGAAUGAAGAUCGGACACGCGCUUAUUUCCAAAAUGGUGUUAUUUAAUGAAUCAUGAUUAGAUGUAAUAUUAAUGAAAAACAAUAAUAACAUAUCAUGUUUAGAUAUUAAGCUAAGUAUUAAUAAUCAAUUAUAUUAAAGACAUAAUUAAUCAAUGAUCGAUAGACAUAUUAUUAUUAUAUUAUUAAAACCUAACUAGACAUGCAUUUAUAUUUCCUCCCCCACAAUAUGUAACCUAUAGACGAAUGUAUUAAGGGUGCACUUGUGUGAAUGUGGGUGUAUGUGUGUGUGUGUCUAGGUGUAUGUGUGUGCGUGUGUGUGUGCGUGCACGUGUGUGCACGUGUAUACAUGUGUGUGUGUGUGUGUCCCUGCGUGUUUAAGUGAGAAGCAAAGACAAACAAUAUUUAUAAUAGUUUCUUACCACUAAGCCCGCCUACCCCCCUUACUCAAUUUUAUCCCUUCAGUCAAACCCCAAAACCGGAUGAUAGGCCUUUAGCAUGGUAAUUAAAUACUGUGAAGAAAUAGGUACUCAAACACAUGCAAGCAACAACUAAGUCUAACACAAACAACCACUCAAUGUUAAACUACUAUAACUAUUAUAGGAUAUUAUAGUAAAUACCUAACUGCCCUAUAAAGUAGGCAAACAACUGUCUUCCAACCCAAAUCUUAAAUUCAUCUUCUUCAUGAGAAAAAAAAAAAAAAGUUUUGCAAAAAAAAAAAAAAACAAACAAAAAACAAUACUGACAUAGUAUACAAACAAAUUUUAUCAAAUUUUAAUUUAUUGUUUGUGUAGCUUAACGCAAAGCAAAGCACUGAAAAUGCUUAGAUGGGCUUUAAUCCGUUCCACAAGCACAAAGGUUUGGUCCUAGCCUUACUGUUAAUUUUUAUUAGACCUACAAAUGCAAGUUUCCACAACAAGGUGAGUAUACCCUGUUAACUUCCAUUGAGUUUAAAGGAGCGGGUAUCAGGCACACUACCAAAAUUAGACCAUGACACCUUAUUUAACCACACCCCCACAGUUACAGCAGUGACUAACAUUGAGCUAUAAGCGAAAGUUUGACUAAAUCAUAAUAAAAAGGGUUGGUAAAUCUCAUACCAGCCACUGUGGUCAUAUGAUUAACCCAAAUUAACAGAAGAACGGCAUAAAGGUUGUUUAAUCAUUCAAUCCACCAAAUAAAGUUACAGCUCAACUGUGCUAUAAUAAGUACUAGUUGAUAUUAAAAUACGCAAUUUACCGGACUUUACCCAUGCUGAAGACACUAAUGCUAAGGUAAAAACUGGGAUUAGAGACCCCACUAAGCUAAGCUGUAAACUCAGGUAAUUAAAUAACAAAAUUGCUUGCCAGAGAACUACUAGCCAUUGCUUAAAACUCAAAGGACUUGGCGGUGCCCUAGACCCUCCUAGAGGAGCCUGUUCUAUAAUCGAUAAACCCAGAUACAUCUCACCCCUUCUCGUUUAUCAGUCUAUAUACCGCCAUCAUCAGCUCACCCCAACAGGGUUCCAAAAUGAGCAAAAUCAUGAAACCAUCAAAACUUUAGGUCAAGGGGUAGCAUAUGAAGGGGGAAGCAAUGGGCUACAUUUUCUAUGUUAGAACACAAGGGAUUAUCUAUUGAAACAAAGACAUGAAGGAGGAUUUAGUAGGAAAUUAAGAAUAGAGAGCUUAAUUGAAAUAGGCAAUAGGGUGUGUACACACCACCCUUCACCCUCCUCAACAAAGUAACUUCAAUACCUAAUAAGAAUAUGCUAAAAAGAGGAGAAAAGUCAUAGCAUGGUAAGUGUAAAGGAAAGUGCACUGGGACAAUCAAAAUGUAGCUUAAAUAAAGCAUUUAGCUUACACCCAAAAGUUUUCAGCUAAUCCUGACCAUUUUGAGCUAGAUCUAGUCCUAGAUAUGCCCAAUUAAACUAUUUAUAACACUCUACAAAACAUUUGUAAGCCCUAGUAUAGAUGAUAGAACAGACUAAAUUGUAGGUACAAUAAAGUACUGUGAGGGAACUUUGAAAGAUUCCAUCUUGUAAGCAACAAAAAGCAAAGAUUAUACCUUCUACCUUUUGCAGAAUGACUUAGCUCCUCAAACCGGACAAAAGGAAUUAAAGCCCGGGUUCCUGAAAUUAAGUGAGCUAUUGUAGAACAGUUGUCAGAACGAACUCGUCUAUGAAGCAAAAUAGUGCGAUGAUUUUACAAUAGGGGUGAAAAGUCUAUCGAACUUAAUGAUAGCUGGCUGUCCAAAAAACGAAUUUAAAGUUGAACUUAAAUUAGAAGUAUUAGAAGUAAAAUUCUUGGCGCUUCUAUUUCAUCCUAUUUGGGAGUUUUUAAGCUCUACUCUUUGAUGUGCUGAAGAUUGAAUUUUAAUAGCUUAUGUUAUGUUAUAGUCAUGUUCUUGCAUUUUUUUCUUCCUGUGACUGAUUUCUAUAAUCACAACAAUAGUUAAUAAGAACUGUUAAUGCAAUUUAAAUAUGUCAUACUUUGCUGUUUCCAAUCUGGUUAUAUGUAAUCAUGCUAUCCUAACUAUUACGGCAAAUGAGUACUUACCCUGGUCAUCUACCUGUUACUGGAUAUUUGUGUCUAUGGAUAUUCAGGUUUUCUUUUUAAAUGUUUCUAAAUAAUGAGAGGACAAUUAGCACAGUGUUCUGUGAAACCUAACUGCUAUUUAUUGAGACUAUUGCCUGUCCUGUGAAGCAAACUUGUUCCUUUCCAUAGGACCUGCUGGCCAAUCUAUACGGGCCUCCCCACAUUUUGUAGCAGUUCCAGACUAUUCUAAGCUUUAUCUUUUAGAUUUGGUUUCUUUGUUCCAGAUUUUGGUCACAUUACAGCUAUAUACAAACCUGCUUUUGGGGCCUGGAUCAACCCAUUGAUCGUUGUCAUCACACCAUGCCCAUCCCCCUCCUUGGACUGAGAGCCAGUUCUCCACCCCUUACCACCUGAAGCAGUUUUUCAAUGAGAGACCAUCGCCCCUGCUCCUGAUAUAAUUUGUACUGAUAUGGGGGAAGUAGGAAAGUGGUUGAUGAAUUAUUGUUAAAAUUACUGCGUGUUUAAGAUUUGGGAUACAAAUUAUUCUAUUCUGUACCUAUUGCUGUUAUGGAUGUAUAGGAACUUUCUAUGUGGGAUGGCUAUUUGAUGCUUUAGCUUUAAAAUUCCUUCUUCUGUUGCAAUUGCUCUGGCAGACUAUUCUCUGAUUGCCUGUUUUGAGGAAAUCUCCAAGAUAUAGAUACUUACCUUGGGACUGGCAGUCUCCAGCCCUGUAACCCAUGUUUCUUACUUGCAAUCUCAGCAUUUUCAAAGGACAUUGAGAUCAGUUUUGAGAUCAAGCCUCUAAAGUUAGGGGUUUCCCCACAAAAGUCAUCAUCAUUCUUACAUAUCACUAACAAAAUCCAACAGUCAGAGUUACAAAGAGAAAUUCCAUUUAAAGUAACUACUGAUAGUGUAAAAUCUUUAGGAAUCUAUCUGCCAAGGAAAAUCAGAAAAUUUCUGAGCAAAACUACAAAACACUUUGCACACAAAUUAAGUCUGAUCUAACCAACUGGAAAAACAUUAAAUGCUCUUGGAUAGGCAGAGCGAAUAUAAGAAAGAUGACAAUACUACCUAAACUAAUCUAUUUAUUUAGCGCUAUACCAAUCAGGCUUCCCAAAAACUAUUUUGAUGACCUAGAAAAAAUAACCACAAAGGUCAUAUGGAAAAACAAAAAGUCAAGAAUUUCAAGGGAAUUAAUUUAAAAAAAAAAUCAAAUGAAGCAGUGGUUACUAAAACCAUCUGGUAUUGGCUAAGAAAUAGACUAGUUGAUCAAUGGAAUAGGUUAGUUUCAAAGGACAAAACAGCCAAUAAUUUUAAUUAUCUAGUGUUUGACAAACCCAAAGACCCCACUUUUUGGGAUAAGAAUGCAUUAUUUGACAAAAAUUGCUGGGAAAAUUGGAAAUUAGUAUGACAGAAACUAGACAUUGACCCACACUUAACACCGUACACCAAGAUAAGGUCCAAAUGGGUUCAUGAUCUAGGCAUAAAGAAUGAGAUUAAACUUCCAGCCAAGAUGGCGGAGAGGAGGCACACAGCUGUAUAAGCUCCGCGUUUUCUCUCAGAAUCCAUCUCAUUACAAUCCUCUGAAUUAAUGCUUGACUGAAAAAAACCCCCACAAAUACUUACCAAGGGAAGACAUCCUUGAGAUUCGACAGGAAAGGUCUGUUUUUGCUCGAGUGAGGCACAGUUUUAGAUCUGGCACAGGUUGAGGGCAGGCAGCUCACAGCCCAGCAGGCAGGAGAGGGGAAGAGUGUGACCGCAACCGUCCCUGUGGGGAGAGCUUUCCUCCGGGAAUGGAUACUUUGCCCUGGCAGCAAAUCAGUAGUCCAGCAGAAAAGCUAAAAACACCAGGGGUGAAGAAUACAACCCCAAACAGCUGGAGUUUCUCGGCACCUGGCCACCCCUCCCCAACAGCGUCUCAGCAUGCUCUUAAGAGUCUUGGAGGGCAAGAGCAGUCUUGCUAGUGCCUUGCCGCUGCCCCCCCCCCCCAGUCUGUAGAGGAAGCUCUGUAACACCACCCAGCCCCUCCCCAAAAAGCAGAUUCUAUUUGAGUUUUUUUUUCUUUUUUCUUUGCUAGUUUGUCUCUGAUUCUUCUCUGACAAAAUGAGCAAAAACUUGAAAAGGACCUUAAUGAUUGACAGCUUUUAUACGGACAGAGAGCAGACUCUAAAACCUGAGAAGACGAAAAACAGACUGUCUCCAGAUGAGUCCCCACAGGAGGAGAUCAUCUGUUCCUCAGCAUAGAUGAAUCUCAUAGAAGAAAUUAAAAAGGCUCUCACAAGAGAGCCAGAAGAAAAAUGGGAAAAGGAGAGGGAGGCUUGGCAACAGAGUCUGGAGAAGUCACCCCACUCACUUAAAGACAGAAUGGAUAAAGAAAUCAAAUCCUUGAAAAAUAGGAGUAGUGAACUGGAAAAAGAAAUUAGCUCUCUAAAAAAAAAAAAAAAAAAACUGGUGAAAUGGAAAAAAAUUUCCAUAGAACAAAGCAACACAAUUGGACAAUUAGAAAAAGAUAUUAAAAAAGUGAGUGAAGGAAACACUUCAUUGAAAAUCAGAAUUGAACAAAUGGAAUUGAAUGACUCGAGGAGACAACAAGAAUCAGUCAAGCAAAACCAAAAAUAUCAAACAAUGGAGAAAAAUGUGAAACACUUUCUUGGGAAAACAACAGACCUGGAAAAUAGGUCUAGGAGAGACAAUCUGAGAAUAAUCUGAGAAAAAUAACAAGUUAAAAACAAGUGUAAACCAUAUGAUAAAAGUGGGGAAAACACCAGUGAGGAGUAAAAUACUUUAAAAACAGAAUUGGACAAAAGAAUACAAAAAUUUGCUUAAGAAAAAAAAAUCCUUAAAAAGUUCGAGUUUACCAAAUAGUUAGGAAGGUACACAGUCUCACUGAAGAAAACAAUCCCUUUAAUAAUUAGAAUUGAGCAAAUGAAAACUAAUGGGUUUAUAAGAAUAAAGAAAUAAUAAAACAAU
ensembl:lncRNA